CAGCUGAAGGAAAUACUGCUCUUCAUCAUUACAUUCCAUGCCAUGCAUUUGGACCUGGUCCAGUUGUCUGAGUACAAGAACUGAAGGCGGAGAGUCAGGAGGAAGGAGGCCAACAGGCAGGCCACAGAUGACAGUGAAGGCAAAAGAACAGGGUGCAAUGGAGUUGGCCUUCUACUACCACAAAGCGAUCCUAUGCUCACAUGUCCAAACAGCCCCCAGAUGUGACUCCAUUGAUCAGAAGUCAUCCUUAGCUGCAUGAAGAAGAAAACAACAACAACAACAACAACAACAGCAGAAGAGUCCUUGCUUGAAAUCAAUCCAUGUACAUCCUGAGCAUAGGGUCUUCCUUUUUUCAGCUCUUCCCUCAAGGACCUAGGGUUUCAGUAAGUAAAUGUGCCUUUGUCCACAUUUAAAGCA